AUGGAAUUGAAUUUUGAUGCACGGUGGAAAAGGGACUUACUUGCCCUGAGCAAAUACAACGUUAAUGGUAAAGAUAAAGCAAUUACAGUAAGAAAUGAUUAUCCGGACUACCUUGUCCCUUAUUUUCAAGUUACCGAGGGUUUUAAUUUCAGAAAGGUCAAGGAGCUUAUGCUAGAAGGGGAUAUUAAGAUCGCCAAGUCCAUAGCAAAUGACAUAAUCAUCCCAGACCCUGCUCCCCAGUGGGUGUCUGAUAACUUCUUGGACAAAUAUGCCGAAUUGGAGCCCAUCCUUGUAAAGGAUAGUGCCCGGUGCUUCCUCCAACUCUUCCAGAACUGUAGAGGUCGGGGCAUGUCAUCGGAUCUUACCAUCACCCCACAAACCUUAACCUUCAUUGUCAGUUUCAAUGCCCUGCGAUGUGCAAAAGUCGUAUUGGAGGGCAUGGCACCUGGGCUCUAUGGGAUGCACGCCAAUCCCAACUGCAUAAACAAAUAUGGAUACUUCCCGCUCCACGAAGCUGCUGAAAGGUUCUCUCUUGACAUGAUCAAGCUGCUUUUACGCCAUGGUGCAUCGCCCAAUGUGCGCACAGUUGGCAAUGAUGCCAUUUUUGAUGUCAUUGAGAAUCUACUCCCGCUCCAUGUCGCAAUUGAGAAUACUUGCCUGCAUAAGUAUCUGGAGGACAAUCUUUCUCGCAGCCAGAGUCAUCUGGAUUAUAUUUACAAGCUUAUUCAUCUGCUGUGUCUACCUGAAAUGAAGGUCUUCUUGGACACAACUAGACUGCUUGCAGAAAAAACAAAUAAUGUACUUCAAGAGCUCUGGAAUUACAUUGAGGAUGGAAAAAUUAUCCAGUCUGCUGUUCUACUACUGGCUGCUCAAGAGCAGAUCCGUGGGGGCAGUUCUUCCAAGAUAAAUGGCAGUAGUAAGAAAAAUGGGUUUGACAUUAUCAAUAAAUGUAUAAUGAGGCGUUCAUUUGCCUUGAGAUGGGAGAAAGGUUCACAUGCAAUGGCACCGGAGCUUCUGGAGGAAAGGAAGACACUUACUGAUUGCGCAUGGCUGCUUGUUGAUGUAAUUUCCCAUGCCGGUGAAGAUCUUUCUGCAUACAUUCAAACACAUUCUGAGGUGCCCCAUGUGAAGGUCUUUCAACAUGUUUCACGUAUCCUCAAGGAGUAUGGAUUUUGCCCUAAUGGAGAUCCCAUGGACACUAUAAACCUCCAGCCUUAUGACUGCAGAAAGUCAAACGGAGAGUCAUGCAAAGAUGCAAACAUGGCAGUUAUGGAAUCGGCCAAUCUGGAUGCUGCAGAGGAAAAGGUCACAACCGUUGGAAAUGACAACCUCUCCCUUAUGGCACGGCAGCACACCAAACAAACACAGGUUGUGAGAAAGAAAGUAGGCGGAGGAUGGGAUCCCACAUACACAAGGAGAAGUUUUUUCCCACAUUGGAGAUCAGUGUUACAAGCCCGGCUUCCUUUGAAGGUGUAUCCAGCCUAUGCAAGCUCAGAUCCUAGUCCAAAUCAUAAACUUGGUCCAGUGCGAAGAACCUUGCCACUUACAAGCAACAAUCAACCCAGAAGGUGCUUUGCCACUGCUGCUAUUGGUGCAUUCAGGCUCUUGAAGGUGCUAAAGUAA
rnacentral:rRNA from 1 species